rnacentral:lncRNA from 1 species
AGAAGGCAAACAGAAAUCUCAGCAAAUGUGGAAAAUUUCUGCUGAUGAGGAGAUGCCAGCCCCAGACCAUCCGGGAAGGUGCUGGGGGAUGAGAGCUGGGCUCCACCCUUCUGAUUCUCUGCCUGGGUGAUACCUCUGAAAGGGUCAUUUGACCUCCAAAUGGGUUGAGAACCAAUGCCCUAGCUUGCUUGUCUGAGUAUCUACUG